rnacentral:rRNA from 1 species
CAUAGAGGGUGAGAAUCCCGUAUUUGACCAUUAUUUUCAGCUGUGUGAUACACUUUCAAAGAGUCGGAUUGUUUGGGAAUGCAGUCCAAAAUGGGUGGUAAAUUUCAUCUAAAGCUAAAUAUUGGCGAGAGACCGAUAGCGAACAAGUACCGUAAGGGAAAGAUGAAAAGAACUUUGAAAAGAGAGUUAAACAGUACGUGAAAUUGUCAAAAGGGAAGCGUUUGACACCAGUGUUGUUUUCUCGAAAAUCAAUUAAAAAAAGUUGGAUUUUGUGUUUGUAUGACCUUAACAGCUUCUUUCACUUUUUUCCUGCUUUUUUUAAUGCACUUUUCGUUUAACAAGUCAACAUCAGUUUCUUUUGUUGUAAAAAGGUCAUUGGAAGGUGGCUUUCUUUUCGGAGAAAGUGUUUAUAGCCUUUGACUCCUGCAAUCGGAGAGACUGAGGUCUGCAGCGUAGAUCCUUCGGGGUUAGAUACAUUUGUGCUAAGUUAUAGCUUUUCAUAGACAACUUGUUGACUAUGUUUAGUCAUGUAGCUUACUCGCUUAUGCUAUUUUACCUACGCUUAGGAUGUUGAA